GACGAACGCUGGCGGCGUGCCUAAUACAUGCAAGUAGAACGCAGUUGCGAACGGGUGAGUAAAGCGUCGGUAACUGCCUCAUAGCGGGGGGUAACCAUCGGAAAAGGUAGCUAAUACCGCAUACUGUGAGAUGGACCUGCGUUGUUUUAGAUAGUUGGUGAGGUCAACGCCCCCCAAGGCGACGAUACAUAGCCGACCUGAGAGGGGGGUCUGCCACCCGGGGAACUAGACACCGCCCAAAAUCCUACCGGAUGCCGCAUGAGGGAAUCUUCGGCAAUGGACGGAAGUCUGACCGAGCCACGCCGGGUGAGUGAAGGAGGUUUUCGGAUCGUAAAGCUCUGUUGUGAGAGAAGCGGUAACUAACCAGAAAGGGACGGCUAACUACGUGCCAGCAGCCGCGGUAAUUC
rnacentral:rRNA from 1 species